rnacentral:misc_RNA from 1 species
UUCAAAUUCACAUACAAAAAGAUCUUAUUUGGCGAAGUAAACAUUGAUUCGUCGAGGGAUUAAAUACCACAUGUAAACUUAAAUGACUCUCGCCCAACAGAGCCCUUGUUUGGGUAGACCUCGCACAUUUACAGGACCCUGAACUUAGUGUUCACAACUUCUACCCCUGCUGCAUUGUGGCCUCAAAACACGACACUCCCCUAUGCACCCUGGACUGAAGAGGCGUCCCUUUAACAAGCUAGUACUCUGGACUGACGAGACGCCCAUUAACAAGCUAGUAAUCUGGACUGACGAGACGCCCAUUAACCAGCUGGCACCCUGGACUGAAGAGACAUCCCAUUAACCAGCUAGUGCUCUGGACUGACGAGACACCCAUUAACCAGCUAGUACUCUGGACUGACGAGACGCCCAUUAACCAGCUGCCAAACUGGACUGACGAGACGCCCAUUAACCAGCUAGUACUCUGGACUGACGAGACGCCCAUUAACCAGCUGCCACACUGGACUGACGAGACGCCCAUUAACCAGCUGCCACACUGGACUGCUGUAAUAAAAUGAGGUGGUCCAGGUGCUCCAAGGUUGUGAUCUGGUUGAUCGUUGUCGUGGUUACCCUCCAGCUCCUCGACUAUGAUUGGAACAUCUUCAACUUAACUCGUAACCGGCCUUCCAGGCCGAACCUGCUGAGUACUUCUGAUUCAGGGUCAAAGUCGACAUUACAGGUGAAUGUCCCAGUGGUCCAUCAAGGUCAUCACACAAACAAGACAUCGGUUAGAUUUAUUGAUCUCCCAUUGAGUACACCAUUUGACCUUGACCUUCGCGUGAUUGUUAUCACCUAUAAUCGUGGGAAUUCUGUUCUGAGAUUGUUGAACUCGUUAAACGAGGCCGAUUAUUUAGGUGACAAGGUCGCCAUUGAUGUUUGGAUCGAUCGUUCCAAGGAUGGUGUCAUUCAUGAGGAGACCUACGCAAAGGCCAGACAGUUUAAAUUCAAACACGGUAUCAUUAAUGUUCAUAACCAGACGCAGCAUGCUGGGAUAUAUGGCCAGUGGAUGAAGACUUGGAAUCCGUCAUUGGACAGUAAAGAAAUCGCUGUGAUACUGGAGGAUGAUUUGACAGUGUCGAAAUAUUUCUAUAAAUGGUUAAAAAAUGUUCACGCGAAGUACGAUUCAUUGUUGUACAUCAACGGUUUCGCACUUCAGGGUUACAGCAUGAAACACGGAGGAGGACCGGGACAGCUGCGAGCUCCAGACGAAAAUAUUGUCUUCAUGUAUCCGAUUCUGGGUACGUGGGGAUUCUCACCAAGUCGAGAAAAUUGGAUAAAAUAUGUGAAAUGGUAUGAUAACAUGUCGGAGGUAUCAGGUUUUCACCCAACAGUUGCAGGCAUACUGCCGACACUUUGGUAUAAUAAUUUCCUGAAGCAGGGGAAGACCGGGGGUAUGUGGUCCAUGUGGCAUGUAUACCACGCCUGGAAGUUCAAGGAACGGUCAAUCUACCCAAAUCUCCCGGGAAAAUGUGGACUGACCAUCAACUGGAAAGAGGCUGGACUUCAUUACUCUAAAUCGCAAACCGUUACGGAGAAUAAAGAUCCAAUACUGACGGCGUGGGAUGGGAAAUUUGAUAACUUACCAGAUGUACCUAUCCACCUUAAUGUUAAUGGUAAGGUGUGUCCCAGAGAUCGAUAUCUGUAGUCUGAUCACAUUGUUAUAGGUCAGUGAUAUAAAAGGUGUUCAAUUAUUGUUUGUACCAGCCAUUGAAACAACAUUCCAUGCUUUCAUUGUCAUGUAAGUAGUUUUAGGUUUUUGAACAGAAUCUCAAGUUUGUCCCGACAAAAUAUUGGAAGAGAGAUUUCAUAAAGGUGUUAAUAAAAAAAUAUUUUUCUUUUCUCAUAACACGAUUCAAAUCAAAGGAAAAUAACCAAAUUGCAUUAAUUUAAUUAUGUAAAACGAAAAGUUUAUGAUAAGACUUGUAUCAAGGAUGUAUUAUCUGUGAUGUAAGCCUGAUGUCUUUAUUAAACCCCGUCCAGCAGGGGUCUAGAAAAAUACUCAUUCAGCCCUCGUGGACAAGUAAAAAAAACAAAUUCUGAAACCCAGCUUGAUCCAAUCUUCAUUUUACGCAAUCGCCAAACUGUACUUUCAUUUUUUACUGUUGUAUCAACAUUAUCAAAUAAAUUUGUCAGACAUUUAAUUUAUUAUAAAUUCUGGAUAUGCAGACGAAAAAUAUACUUUGAAAACAUCAACUAAUAUUAAGUGAAUUCAGAUAAGAUGUUCGCUAAUUCAGACAAUGACUAUUUUAGGUCUCUAGUCCUGUGUCUAGUUGUUUGACAAGUUUUUCCAGACCCCUGCAUCUAACCUGUCCCACUUCAGCACUUCUAGAGGCUAAACGGAGUGUCUAUAUAGUAUGUCUUAUAUGGUAGCCGAAUUGACAUGAAUCGAUGAACGUGACAGAGUUCAUAUCCUACUGGUCAUUGAAGCAUCACAUAUAAACACUUACUGGUUGUGCUAUAUGAAUCUUUUCUCAACUCAAAACAUCAUGUUUAAGGAUCCCUGUCCCACUGAAGGCAAAUCACCAGAAACAUUUCCUGUAGUGUUUUGUACAUGGAGUAACGCCCACUUAAAGUCAUUUUGGAUAUAUUUGUAGCAUAACAAGGCCAGUGUACUACUGAUAACUGAUUACCAGCGCCGUUUUUCGUUUAUCGUGUUCCAAAAGGUUGAACCGGUUGGACCAGAAUUGUUCGUUUAGUAAAUAUAGUCGGACCUAGUAUUCUGAUGCCACUUUCAGGCGAACCUUGUCAAAGUCAUGCAAGGCCGGCAUCAACAUUUCCAGGAUUUAUACCCGAAAAUGUCACAUUUAAAAACGGACGUACCAUUUGUUCUGCAUAAACGAACAGGCCCAGAAAGCUAAGCUGGUUAGAGCCACAGGACAAUGAUCAGAGGUCGGUGAUUGAAUUGUGGUCGUUAAGACAUUUGAUAGAAUACUUUACUCUUGCUGUAUUGUAAUCGCUUUGUGCAGUAUAUUUCCACGGCGGUGUACAAAUAUACAUUUUCCUAUCUACUUAUAUGCAGGCAAAUUUUGAAAAAUUCCACAUGCUUGACCUAUAUUUGAACAGUAAUUAUUAAAUAUUUUUACUAGCCUUGACAUUAACCCUAUCAGCACUGUAGACCAGAUUGGGUACACCCAGAUCAAUGCCUGGUAGAGUCUACUCAAGUUACCUAGGGAUGAAAGGGUUAAACCUAAUAAUUGGGCUGCAUAGAUCAGGCUAAUUGAAAUGUAAACUAUGUAUGCUUGCAGGGACAUGCAUAUUUUUAAUCAACGUUGACACUUUUGAUCAUGUGAAAUAUUUGCUAUAUCAGUGUCAGAUUAGGGUUAACAUCUAUGGUAAUGGUUGUACGGUGAGAUAUAAAAUCUCUGAAACGGUAGGAAUAAUUGAACUGAAUGUCUUAAUGCAGAGUGUGUAACAAAUUUAUGAUAAUGACCUUUGAAUUGUUACAAUAUUUCACAAUAAUAGUUGCCAUUACUGUGAUUGUCACAAUAUAGGUUGUACAAAUGUAUUAAAAGUGAUAAAUGUCUAUUAUUAAUACACCUUGAGUAAAAUUAAAAUAAAUGAUAUUUUUCACUCCAAGAACUUUCAUUGUUUUUCAAUGAAAGAAUUGAAAAAAGGAAUGUUUACUUGAUAAUUUGAGAUUUUACGAUGAGAGAUUUUACGAUGAGAGAUUUUACGAUGAGAGAUUUUACCAUUUGAGAUACCUUUUUAAACGAUUUUUACGGUAUGAGAUUUGCUAUUAAUUUACAGGAUCCCAUGUUUUACCUUCUGUUAGUAUUGUUUAAAUGUAGUCUUGUGUUUUCUUUAAGUUUUAUUCUUUCUUUUCAGUAUUAAACAACUAAUUUUUUAACUGAAAAUAAUAGCAUCCAUCUUAAAUCUUCUUGACAUUGUUGGACAAACUCAUUUAGUCACAGAACAUACCAGUGUGUGCCAGGAUGUAUGAAAAAUGCUUGAAAUAAUUUUCAUUAUUUUGAUCUAAAGUUUAGGGACAUAAAAAGAAAAUGAUGAUAUGGUUUGGAGCAAAACCAUUCUACGCAAUGCUUUGCUGAUUCUGUAUUUGUGUUUUUAAUGGAGAAAUGUUCCUGCUUUUUAAAUGAUAAGAAUAUACAUGUAUCAGUAUUGCUUUAUUCAGAGUUCAACAUUGCUGUUUUAUGUAAGGAAAACAGAGAAUUUGUUAUUGAGGUUGGUAUCUUCUGUUUGAGCUAGAGAUUUUGUUUUAUAUAUCAAUGGCUGAGCAUUAACUAUAUAUAUCUGUUUCACCAUAAUGAUGAAGUAAAUAUUGCAUUCAACCUAGAUUCUCACAAGAUUAUUAUUUUUCUCAAGCUAAUGUAUUUGUUAUUAUCACUGCAACUGUAUAUAAGCAGUACAAUUCAGCUGAAAUUCUCACAAACUAAAUUAAUAUGGUUCUGAUGACAGUUGGCCUAGCCAUCCGAAACAUGUAAACUAAUAACACAUACAGUUACAGAAACCUUGGUGUUGAUGCUCCAUCACUUAUCUACUUUUAUUACAUAAUGUACUGUGUUAUCCAGUAAAUAUACCCAUGUCAUAUUUUUUUGCAUAUUAAUAUGACCAAUCAGCCCUGUGAUCGGUUGUAAGCUUCAAUUGUUUCAAUUGUGACGUCAUGCCUAGGACAAGUACAUGACGUCACAGACUUACGCACCUGAGUCAAAAUGGUGGUUUGCAUGAAAAUUGUCGUUUUACAUGAAUAAUGCCACAAAUCUUGAUUAUGUGAUAAAAAGGAUCUUACACUCGUUUUCAUUUCGUAUGGAAUUUAUGAAACUCGUCACUAAUUCUUCAACUUAUAAAACAUACAGUUACGUAUACAGAAUCCUUGGUGUUGAACCUCCAUCUCUUACCUACAAAAAAAUAAACAAAGUUAACUUGUAUCCAUCCUUUACAUUCUGACCUGGAUCUGUGUAUGUGUUAUGAUUGUAAAUUGAUCUUGCCACUAUUUGCUAUAGGAGUUCCAUUUUUAUUUACCAUGUUGAUUAGUAGGCCUACUUCGUAUUAUAUACAAAGUAGCCCUACUUAUCAACACGGCAAAUCAAUAAUAUUAUUCCAUUCUUUUGUUAUGGUUUUAAUUUAUAUAGUCACGUUUCACAGCAUUGCAUGUAUUAUGCCAAACAUAUAUUUGAGUCAAUUUUGAAGGAGCUUUAAACAUGUAAAAAAAAUUUCUGAUGUAUUUUGUUAGUCAAUGUUUUUGCUAAUAUUUUAGUCAUGUUCGGUUAGCUUCAUUGUAAACUAAAAAAUCAUAUUUAUUUAUUGGCAGAGCUUGUUAAAAGGAAAAGUUUUAUGAUUUUUUUCAUAUUGAUUCUAUACAAAAUCAAAACUGAUAUAAAAUUCUAUAUACAAUCAGCAUUUACUGUACAAAAUUGUAUUUUAAUGGUUUAUUGAUAGAGUCGAUCAUAUGUAGGUAUGUUUUAAACCCAAUUUCCACACCCAAGGGUAGAGUUUUCAUGUUCCACAUACCAGCAUAAUGAUAGGCUCUUUUUCUCCCACUUCUUACUCAAUAAUACUGUGAGUGCAGCAAGAAAUAUUUACAUUUCCACUGCACAGAGCCUAGAUGUUUCUACUGGGCCCAAUGUACGUUAUUUCCGUAUAACAUGCGUUGGGCCAUUGUGACGUCGCUACGCUUAUGACGUCAUAACUGUAACGUUGGAGAUUGCACUGCUCCACUGUCAACUGGUGACUGUUCUCUGUAUGGAUUUACCCUGACGUUGAAACGUGUUCAGACUAAUAUUAUGUCUUUAUUUCUGCGUGAACUGUAAGUUGAUCAACAUAAAAUGUAAAUAUAAGUAUUGGUUGUCAUAUUCAAUAUGUAGGUAAGCCAAUGUAUGUUACACACCAAUGCAUGUCAAAAAUAUGACAACCACUCCUUAAAUAUAGUAGAUUUUCUGGACACCAUACAAACUUACCAAGAACAUAUUUUGAAAUAGCAGAAAAUUGUAAAGUUGCAGAUCCACCUGUCCAGGGUUAGAGAAAUGUGUUUCUUUUACCCUGGUCAGGGAUAUCCACCAUUUUACCGGAAUGAGAUUUUCUUAUCUCACCCUAGGGUUGAGACAAGCUACACGUGUUCUUUGCACGUUCUCAACAAUUGUAUGACGUCAAAGCAACAAUACCAUGACGUCACGGCAACAAUACAAUGACGUCAUGUCGACAAUUCAGCCGCAUCACAUCAACAUUAUCUUGCAUUGAUGUAACGUCUAUGUAAAAUACAAGGGAAACAGGGUAAGAGAAAAAUAAUCAUUCACCCCCUUGGGAGUGAGACGAUGAUCUCAACCCUCGGGGUAAGAUUCUUAAGCUGUCAAACACUUGGCAAGCCUCGUCCAGGGUUAGAGAUGUGUAUGUUGCUGAGGUGGGAGAAAAUGGUAUUUAUGUUCAUGUCAAGUCAUGCUGAAUGUAUAAUGGUGAUUUAAAGUCUUUUUUGUUUAACAUGAGUAACUAACACUUUUAUCCAUAUGUUGUAUAGCGCUUUAGAGUAAUUUUACAAAUUAUAUAUUAUGAUAAGUUGUUUUUUUAACAUUAUGAUGUCUUGUUCGAGGAGAAUUUAAAUUUUUAAAGUUGUAAAAGAGUGUUUUAAGGUCACCUGAACCUAUUUUUUUGUGUAUUUUUGUGACAUGGCAAGUAAUAUACAGAUUAUUCCUGUUUUUUUUAACUUCAUGUCUCGCCUUUGAAAUCAAAUCUAUAUUGCAUAACUAAGGUACAGACCAUUAAGGCCCCUUGGGCCUCUUGUUUAAACAUUUUCACCGAUAUGAGCAAAGCAGUACAUAGAUUUCAGAAUUUACCGAAAUCUGUGUAGGUCUUAGAGGUCAUCGAGGUCAUUUGCUGAUUGACCUGUGUAAAUGCAGGUGACCUAGCAGGUAUGUUAUGUAUAAGGUGUUUUAUGCUGUAUUGAGGGUAAAAAAGGAUGUAUAAGAAGAAGGAAAAAAGUGGCAUUAUGUAUAUAUUGGCUGUAUGGGAGAUAAACAAAUAGAAAUAUCUGUAUUGGUUGUGCAACUCUACUAUAUAUCCCUACUGUAGAAGUAGAAGUUCAUUAUAAAACAUUCAUUAUGAAACUUUUCAACAUCCAUUCCUGCACCUUAGCAGACUGGCUAUUCUUUCUUGCCUUAUUCCCACUUGCGUCAAUUUCAAUUUAUUAUGACUUGAUUUUAAAACCAAAAGGACAAUAUAAAAAGUUAUGAAAUGUAGCUUUGAAUAUAAAUUUUAUCAACAGUAAACUUAACUAAAGUGGCAUUUAUGGGUGUAUGAAUGCCAAGUUUAAUCCUGACAAACUUUUCACACUAUCACACUGUAAUCAAACUGUGAAAUAUGUAUGGUAUUCAAACACCCAUGAAUGCCACUUCAAUGAGUUCAUUACUUAAUAAGGGGGCAUUUCAUUAUGGUUUUACUUUAUGUAUACAGGGAUUAAACAUAUUUUGUUUUGAUAUUAAUGCCAGCAUGAUUGCAGAAUCUUAACAUCCAUUUUGUUAAAUUAUGAACUGGAAAACAUGAACGAUUCAUAUCUGAUAUGAAUGCCAAUGUAGUUAUUAUAUAGUGGGCCAUGAAAUGGUGAAUAUGAUGUAUAGGUAUGUUACAUUUUUAUACAGUUAACUGUGUCUUGGGAGACCACUCAGUCCAAAGACCCGGGCCCGUAUUCAUAUGAAACCAUCCUCAUGCUCAAGCCUGGAUGUUUUGCUCAAGCUUGAUUUCUUGUUUCAGUCAUAAAUUAUUUUAAAAAAAUGGAUUUUGUGAAUGAUUUGGAAAACAACUGAAGAUACUUAAAGCCAGAUACUGUAUUAAUCUUAACAUUGACGUUUUUGAUUGUUUUACAUGAUUUUAGUGAGUUACCAGAAAUCUGGUUUUAACACAGAAUCCAUGAUAUGCUUGAGCAUACGAACAAUUUCAUGACUACAGACCCAGAUCUACUAGUCCCUAGUCUUGUGAAAGGAAGUUUUACAAAACUCACAAUAGAAUUGAAACUUUCAUAAGAAACUUUUAUGAAAGACCAUUAACAGGGUUUUAAAGUAAUGGAUGGCUAUGUACUGACCAAUGAUGAGUUCUUGAUAAGGGAAGUAACUCUAAACCAGAACAGACUUCUUUUUGUUGCUGUAUAUUAUGUUUAGGAGAAUAUUAUAGUCGGAAAAACCCAAUUCCGAUUAUGACUAGUGUAGUGGUGCACUCCCGAAAGCUCUUGUUUCUUUAAUUUAAAAUAAAAUAAAAAUGGUAUCAACUCUCUUUUGGGAAAAAAAGUUUCCUUCAGCUUAAGUGUGGUAUCUCAAGACAGGGUUAAAAUAAGUAUGCAGUUUUAUGUACAUUAACUCAUUCACCCCUGAAAUUUCAUAAUGAACUAUUUCAACCUUUUAGUUGGAGGAGUUUAGAUGUGUCUUCAGGGGGGAAGGAGUUAAUGUUGUCAGCUUAUACAACGCUUACAGUGUUCAGACACAGCUUAUUUGUCAAUAAAAUGUGUAUAAAUUA